AUUGAACGCUGGCGGCGUGCCUAACACAUGCAAGUCGAGCGGUAACAGGUGUAGCAAUACAUGCUGACGAGCGGCGGACGGGUGAGUAACGCUUGGGAAUCUGCCUAUUAGUGGGGGACAACCCGGGGAAACUCGGGCUAGUACCGCAUACGCUCUACGGAGGAAAGCCGGGGACCGCAAGGCCUGGCGCUAAUAGAUGAGCCCAAGUCGGAUUAGCUAGUUGGUAGGGUAAUGGCCUACCAAGGCGACGAUCCGUAACUAGGUCUGAGAGGACGACCAGUCACACCGGAACUGAGACACGGUCCGGACUCCUACGGGAGGCAGCAGUGGGGAAUAUUGGACAAUGGGCGAAGACCUGAUCCAGCGACGCCGCGUGGGUGAAGAAGGCCUGCGGGUUGUAAAGCCCUUUCAGUGGGGAAGAAAGCCUCGACCUAACACGUCGGGGUCUUGACGUAACCCAUAGAAGAAGCACCGGCUAACUCUGUGCCAGCAG
rnacentral:rRNA from 1 species